GACGUAGGUGGCGAACGUUAUCCGGAAUUAUUGGGCGUAAAGGGUGCGUAGGCGGCAUGAUAAGUUAUUGGCGGCAAAUCGAGGCUCAACCUCGUGGAAACUGAUAAUACUGUCUUGCUUGAGUGCAGAAGAGGUUAACGGAACUCCAUGUGGAGCGGUAAAAUGUGUAGAUAUAUGGAAGAACAUCAAUAACGGCGAAGGCAGUUAACUAUUCUGUUACUGACGUUGAGGCACGAAAGCGUGGGGAGCAAAAAGG
rnacentral:rRNA from 1 species